UACGUAGGGCGCAAGCGUUGUCCGGAAUUAUUGGGCGUAAAGAGCUCGUAGGUGGUCUGUUGCGUCCGCUGUGAAAACCCAGGGCUUAACCCCGAGCCUGCAGUGGAUACGGCAGACUAGAGGUAGGUAGGGAGAAUGGAAUUCCCGGUGUAGCGGUGAAAUGCGCAGAUAUCGGGAGGAACACCGGUGGCGAAGGCGGUUCUCUGGGCCUUACCUGACGCUGAGGAGCGAAGCGUGG
rnacentral:rRNA from 1 species